rnacentral:rRNA from 1 species
UACGUAGGAUGCAAGCGUUGUUCGGAAUUACUGGGCGUAAAGAGUACGUAGGCGGUUUGGUAAGUCUGAUAUUAAAGACCGGAGCUCAACUUCGGGACUGUAUCGGAAACUGUCAGACUAGAGGAUAAUAGAGGAAGUCGGAAUUCUCAGUGUAGCGGUGAAAUGCGUAGAUAUUGGGAAGAACACCAGUGGCGAAAGCGGACUUCUGGGUUAUUACUGACGCUGAGGUACGAAAGCGUGGGGAGCAAACGGG